UAGAGAUGUGUGAUGACGCAUAUCAAUAAGCGGAGGAAAAGAAACUAACAAGGAUUCCCUUAGUAACGGCGAGUGAAGCGGGAAGAGCUCAAAUUUGAAAUCUUCAAGGUUCUACCUUGACGAAUUGUAGUUUAUAGAAGUGUUUUCUGUUAGUAGAGUGGCAAAAGUUCUUUGGAAUAGGACAUCAUAGAGGGUGAGAAUCCCGUAUUUGGUCAUUCCUUCUAGCUUUGUGAUACACUUUCAAAGAGUCGGAUUGUUUGGGAAUGCAGUCCAAAAUGGGUGGUAAAUUUCAUCUAAAGCUAAAUAUUGGCGAGAGACCGAUAGCGAACAAGUACCGUGAGGGAAAGAUGAAAAGAACUUUGAAAAGAGAGUUAAACAGUACGUGAAAUUGUCAAAAGGGAAGCGUUUGACACCAGUGUUGUUUUUCCGAAAAUCAAUUACGAAUGUUUUAUUUUUGAGGAGUUAUGACUUCAUCGGCUUGCUCCUUUCUUUAUGAAACUUUCUUAAUGCACUUUUCGGUUAACAAGUCAACAUCAAUUUCUUUUGUUGUAAAAGAGUAUUGGGAAGGUGGCUUUCUUUUCGGAGAAAGUGUUUAUAGCCCUUUACUUCUGCAAUCGGAGAGAUUGAGGUCUGCAGCGUAGAUCCUUCGGGGUUAGAUACAUUUGUGCUAAGUUAUAGCUUUUCAUAGACAACUUGUUGACUAUGAUUAGUCUUGUAGCUUACUCGUUAUGCGCUAUUUUACCUACGCUUAGGAUGUUGACAGCAGUAUAGACUGU
rnacentral:rRNA from 1 species